rnacentral:rRNA from 1 species
CACGCCGUAAACGAUGAGUGCUAAGUGUUAGAGGGUUUCCGCCCUUUAGUGCUGCAGCUAACGCAUUAAGCACUCCGCCUGGGGAGUACGGCCGCAAGGCUGAAACUCAAAGGAAUUGACGGGGGCACGCACAAGCGGUGGAGCAUGUGGUUUAAUUCGAAGCAACGCGAAGGACCUUACCAGGUCUUGACAUCCUCUGACAACCCUAGAGAUAGGGCGUUCCCCUUCGGGGGACAGAGUGACAGGUGGUGCAUGGUUGUCGUCAGCUCGUGUCGUGAGAUGUUGGGUUAAGUCCCGCAACGAGCGCAACCCUUGAUCUUAGUUGCCAGCAUUCAGUUGGGCACUCUAAGGUGACUGCCGGUGACAAA